CCUACGGGGAGCAGCAGUGAGGAAUAUUGGUCAAUGGACGAGAGUCUGAACCAGCCAAGUAGCGUGAAGGAUGACUGCCCUAUGUGUUGUAAACUUCUUUUAUAAAGGAAUAAAACGAGGCACGUGUGCCUUUUUGCAUGUACUUUAUGAAUAAGGAUCGGCUAACUCCGUGCCAGCAGCCGCGGUAAUACGGAGGAUCCGAGCGUUAUCCGGAUUUAUUGGGUUUAAAGGGAGCGUAGACGGGUUGUUAAGUCAGUGGUGAAAGUUUGCGGCUCAACCGUAAAAUUGCAAUUGAUACUGGCAGUCUUGAGUACAGGAGAGGUAGGCGGAAUGCGUGGUGUAGCGGUGAAAUGCUUAGAUAUCACGAAGAACCCCGAUUGCGAAGGCAGCAUACUAAACUGUGACUGACAUUGAUGCUCGAAAGUGUGGGUAUCAAACAGGAUUAGAUACCCUGGUAGUC
rnacentral:rRNA from 1 species